rnacentral:rRNA from 1 species
AGUGAACGCUGGCGGUAGGCCUAACACAUGCAAGUCGAACGGCAGCACAGUAAGAGCUUGCUCUUACGGGUGGCGAGUGGCGGACGGGUGAGGAAUACAUCGGAAUCUACUUUUUCGUGGGGGAUAACGUAGGGAAACUUACGCUAAUACCGCAUACGACCUACGGGUGAAAGCAGGGGAUCUUCGGACCUUGCGCGAUUGAAUGAGCCGAUGUCGGAUUAGCUAGUUGGCCGGGUAAAGGCCCACCAAGGCGACGAUCCGUAGCUGGUCUGAGAGGAUGAUCAGCCACACUGGAACUGAGACACGGUCCAGACUCCUACGGGAGGCAGCAGUGGGGAAUAUUGGACAAUGGGCGCAAGCCUGAUCCAGCCAUACCGCGUGAGUGAAGAAGGCCUUCGGGUUGUAAAGCCCUUUUGUUGGGAAAGAAAAGCAGCAGGUUAAUACCCCGCUGUUCUGACGGUACCCAAAGAAUAAGCACCGGCUAACUUCGUG